GUAAGAGGAAAAUCCGUCGAUUUUUUAAAUCAUGAGGGUU
rnacentral:tRNA from 2 species